AUAAAGGCAAUGAAGGUGUCAGUAGAGCAUUAUUUUCCGCCAGAGAGAGGAUGUCAGCGGCUGGAAGCAUCCCUAGGUUCCUGUAAUGCGUCGAAUUUCCCACCGGAGCUGCAUUUCUGAACGCAGGGCAGUAUUCUUCGUUAUAAGGCGCAUGUCAGUAGGAAAUGACGUCUAGGCACGUUACGCUGAUACGAGUGCCUGCCGGCGGCAGGAAACAGGGUGGUACCACGGAUUAUAAGCUUCGUCCCUAUG
rnacentral:ncRNA from 1 species